rnacentral:rRNA from 1 species
CCUACGGGGUGCAGCAGUGAGGAAUAUUGGUCAAUGGGCGCGAGCCUGAACCAGCCAAGUCGCGUGAGGGAAGACGGUCCUAUGGAUUGUAAACCUCUUUUGUCGGGGAGCAAAAGACGCCACGCGUGGCGUUCCGAGAGUACCCGAAGAAAAAGCAUCGGCAAACUCCGUGCCAGCAGCCGCGGUAAUACGGAGGAUGCGAGCGUUAUCCGGAUUUAUUGGGUUAAAGGGGUGCGCAGGCGGAAGAUCAAGUCAGCGGUAAAAUUGAGAGGCUCAACCUCUUCGAGCCGUUGAAACUGGUUUUCUUGAGUGAGCGAGAAGUAUGCGGAAUGCGUGGUGUAGCGGUGAAAUGCAUAGAUAUCACGCAGAACUACGAUUGCGAAGGCAGCAUACCGGCGCUCAACUGACGCUCAUGCACGAAAGUGUGGGUAGCGAACAGGAUUAGAUACCCCUGUAGUC